ensembl:snRNA U6 U6 spliceosomal RNA
GCUCUAUUCAACAGCACACAUCACCAAAACUGGAAUGCUACUGAGAAGAUCAGUGUGGUCCCUGCACAUAGAUUACAUGCAAAUUCAUGAGUGUUCCAUAUUUUUU